rnacentral:pre_miRNA from 1 species
AUACAAAUCACUUGAGGAUCUUAUUAAAAUGCAAAUUCUGAUUCAGUAGCUCAGAGGUGGGUCCAAAAAGUCUGCAUUUCUAAUAAGCUAGCAGAUGAGGCUGAU